UACGGAGGGAGCUAGCGUUGUUCGGAAUUACUGGGCGUAAAGCGCACGUAGGCGGUUAUUCAAGUCAGAGGUGAAAGCCCGGGGCUCAACCCCGGAACUGCCUUUGAAACUAGAUAACUAGAAUCUUGGAGAGGUCAGUGGAAUUCCGAGUGUAGAGGUGAAAUUCGUAGAUAUUCGGAAGAACACCAGUGGCGAAGGCGACUGACUGGACAAGUAUUGACGCUGAGGUGCGAAAGCGUGGGGAGCAAACAGG
rnacentral:rRNA from 1 species